UUCCUCUCACAAACAUCAACCUGUUACAACCCUGGUUCUUCCUUGUUGCACAGUUUAGAAUAUAUUCAGUGAACCAGGAAGUAUCAAAGGGAGACAGUGACUUUGGAUCAGAUCAAAGAUUGUACAGCUACCUCCAGGUACUGAAGAAAUGGGCAGACAGAAACAAGUUAUUGGA